UAGAUACCCUAUUUUGUUGAGGAUUCCAGUUGACAUCUUUACCACAUAGACAGUUGGUUUCUAGCACCAACACUAGGUGUAUUUUGGGCCACUUGUCAUUGUAACCAUUAUCGUACAUUAUAACUUUGUAAAAUUUUGCAUGUAUGAAUUUGUUUUACUUACACGUUACAAAAGAUUCCUUACACGUGUUUCUAUAAAUAUUGUUAUAUAUAAAAAUGC
rnacentral:lncRNA from 1 species